UGGGGAAUAUUGCACAAUGGAGGGAACUCUGAUGCAGCGACGCCGCGUGAACGAAGAAGGCUUUCGAGUCGUAAAGUUCUUUUAUAUGGGAAGAUAAUGACGGUACCAUAAGAAAAAGCCCCGGCUAACUACGUGCCAGCAGCCGCGGUAAUACGUAGGGGGCUAGCGUUGUCCGGAAUCACUGGGCGUAAAGGGUUCGUAGGCGGAAAUGCAAGUCAGGUGUAAAAGGCAGUAGCUUAACUACUGUAAGCAUUUGAAACUGCAUAUCUUGAGAAGAGUAGAGGUAAGUGGAAUUUUUAGUGUAGCGGUGAAAUGCGUGGAUAUUAAAAAGAAUACCGGUGGCGAAGGCGACUUACUGGGCUCAUUCUGACGCUGAGGAACGAAAGCGUGGGUAGCAAACAGG
rnacentral:rRNA from 1 species